rnacentral:rRNA from 1 species
CGUGCCAGCAGCCGCGGUAAUACGGGGGAUGCAAGCGUUAUCCGGAAUCAUUGGGCGUAAAGCGCCUGUAGGUUGUCUAAUAAGUCCGUUGUUAAAGACCAGGGCUUAACCCUGGGAAAGCAAUGGAAACUACUAGGCUUGAGUAUGGUAGGGGUAGAGGGAAUUUCUAGUGUAGCGGUGAAAUGCGUAGAUAUUAGAAAGAACACCGGUGGCGAAAGCGCUCUACUGGGCCAUUACUGACACUCAGAGGCGAAAGCUAGGGGAGCGAAAGGGAUUAGAUACCCCUGUAGUCCUAGCCGUAAACGAUGGAUACUAGGUGUUGUGUUUUUAUACAGUAUCGUAGCUAACGCGUUAAGUAUCCCGCCUGGGGAGUACGCUCGCAAGGGUGAAACUCAAAGGAAUUGACGGGGGCCCGCACAAGCGGUGGAGCAUGUGGUUUAAUUCGAUGCAACGCGAAGAACCUUACCAGGGCUUGACAUACUACAAAUCUUUUUGAGACGAAAGAGUGCCUUCGGGAAUGUAGAUACAGGUGGUGCAUGGCUGUCGUCAGCUCGUGUCGUGAGAUGUUGGGUUAAGUCCCGCAACGAGCGCAACCCUCGUUUUUAGUUGCCAAUUUAUUGGGAUUUCUAGAGAGACUGCCGAUGAUAAAUCGGAGGAAGGUGAGGAUGACGUCAAGUCAGCAUGCCCCUUAUGUCCUGGGCCACACACGUGCUACAAUGGCAAAGACAAAGAGUCGCAAAUUCGCGAGAACUAGCUAAUCUCAUAAACUUUGCCCAAGUUCGGAUUGUAGGCUGCAACUCGC